ensembl:lncRNA
CUAGGUUGCAAACAUGAUACCUAAACUUGUAACAAAGAGUGUGGAGAGCCAAACAAAACGAUCACUUCUUUGAUGAUGACUGCAGCCAAGAAAUUAAAAGAUGCUUGCUCCUUGGAAGAACAGAUAUGACCAACCUAGACAGCAUAUUCAAAGGCAGAGACAUUACUUUACCGACAAAGGUCUGUCUAGUCAAAGCUAUGGUUUUCCAGUAGUCAUGUAUGGAUGUGAGAGUUGGACCAUAAAGAAGGCUGAAAGCUGAAGAAUUGAUGCUUUUGAACUGUGGUGUUGGAGAAGACUCUUGAGAGUCCUUGGACUGCAAGGAAAUCAAACCAGUCAAUCCUAAAGGAAAUCAGUCCUGAAUAUUCAUUGGAAGGACUGAUGCUGAAACUGAAGCUCCAAUACUUUGGCCACCUGAUGCAAAGAACUGACUCAUUGGAAAAGACCCUGAUGCUGGGCAAGAUUGAAGGCAGGAGGAGAAGGGGAUGACAGAGGUUUACAUGGUUGGAUGGCAUCACUGGCUCGAUGGACAUGAGUUUGAGCAAGUUCCGGGAGUUGAUGAAGGACAGGGAAGCCUGGCAUGCUGCAGUCCGUGGGGUUGCAAGGAGUUGGACAUGACUGAGCAAAACUGAACUGAAUUGAUACAUGAGUUCAAAGCUCUGUUCUGCCACUGAAUUGGCUCCAUAAACUUGUGCAAGUCACUUAUAUUUUUAAACUUCAGUUUCUUCAGCUAUAAAAUAGAAAUAAUAUUAAUGUCAACUUCAUGGGAUAGUUGUGAUGACUGCAUGAAAUGAUGGAAAAAUGCCAAGCACAUGGUGAGUGUGUAGUAGGUAAGAGAGUUUCCUGUUUCCCUCUCUUCCUUCAACAUUAAGAGGCUACAAUCCUCCCAGAUCUGAGUUUUCUGGGCAGAGUGCUCUAAUGUCAAACACACUGGACAACAGAAAAGCGAAGCUGAGUCCCACCCACCAUCUAAGAAUGACUCAUAGGCUAGCUCAGGUUUCCAGAUGUGUAUCCUUACUAUUCUCUGGUCCUUAUCUAUAUUUUACCUGGUGCCAAUGUCACCGUUUUCACCAUUUUCCUUUGGAGCAAAUCCCAAUGACUGGAAUUAUUAAUGACUCUGCCAAUUUGACAUGGUUUAGUGGUAGAGCAUGUCAGAUGUGUAGAGUCCAUCCUAUUGAUGGUCCAUCCUCUCUUGCAUGGACCAUUUUCCUUGCAAUUGCAAAAGUCAGCAAUCCCAUCCUGAGCCUUGUCAGCCCUUGUCAAAGCAGUGGCCAGGGUACAUCAGCAGGUGGACAGGGAGCAGCACUGGAAUAUUCUCUUCUGGGUUUGACUUCUGCAGAUAAGUCCUGGAGCUGCCAUGGAUGCCAGGCCUACCUUCUCUGCUGCCUAAAAAUCUUCAGUUCAUUAACUUGUAGUUACCUAUUUUCAUGGCUCAACUGCAGUUAAAGGCAGAAAUUGCCCAAAUCGGCUGACUUAGUUUGCUUCUAGGUAAUUGUAUCAUGAGCCAAUUACUUAAACUGUACUACAUUUUCACUUACAUUCUGACAUCUCAUACUUUUUAAACCUAAAUUAACUCCUUACAUAAAGGACUAUUGGGAAUUUUAUCUAAAUGGUUUCUGGAAUGUAAAUUUAUGAAAAAAAUCACAUGGACAGAAGAAGUGAAAUUCUGAUUAUGAUAGUUUUGUGUUAGUCCAGGGAGGGCUGCAUAUGUCAGUGAAUAAAAAUAAUAAGGAACAGCAACAAUAACCAUAACUACUAGUCAUUGAGUGCAUGUUUUGUAUACCACAUGGUUGAAAUAAAGCUGUAUUAAACUUAUUGCCAGGCAAAGUACCCAAAAGCUUUUCCCAUGUGCUCUAUCAAUAGUUUGAAGAUGGAUUUCAAAAAGUUCUGAUAAUUGUACUCUUAGGCUAGCCUAGAUCAGUCAACAGGAAUAGGAACAUUAGGAACAUAUGGCAACAAGACAAUUAAAUCUAAGUAUUAAGAAGCCCAGUUGUGUCUCACUCUUUGCAACCCCAUGGACUGUACAGUCCAUGGAAUUCUACAGGCUAGAAUACUGGAGUGGGUAGCCUUUCCCUUCUCCAGGGGAUCUUCAAAACCCAGGGAUAGAAUCCAGGUCUCUCACAUUGCUGGCUGAUUCUUUACCAGUUGAACCACAAGGGAAGCCCAUGAAUACUGUAAUGGGUAGCUUUUCCCUUCUCCAGUGGAUCUUCCUGACCCAGGAAUCAAACCGAGGUCUCCUGCAUUGCAGGUGGAUUCUUUACCAACUGAGCUUUCAGGGAAGCCUGACUUUCACAUUAAGAGGCCCAGGCUUACCAGGUGGCUCAGUGGUAAGGAAUUCUCCUGCCAAUGCAGGAGAUGUAAGAGAUGCAGGUUUGAGCCCUGGGUUGGGAAGAUUGCCUAGAGUAAGAAAUGGCAACCCACUUCAGUAUUCUUGUCUGGAAAAUUCUACACUUAGAGGAGCCUAGUGGGCUACAGUCCAUGGGGUCACAAAGAGUUGGACACAACUGGGCAUGUACACAUUCAGCAGCCCAAUGAAAGUUUUGUAGGUUAAUGAAAGUUUUAACAAAGUUUUGAUUUUUAGCACAAAUAAUGACCUUUUAUAUCCAUUCCAGCUAAUCAUUCCCUACUCCAGAAUUCUUCAUUAUCAACAACUGCAAUCCUCUUUAAUUUCAACCUCAACCAUCCCAUGCUUUAACUGAAAUUCCCACUCUUUCCCUUUAGUACCCAAGUAAACCAUGCUUCAGUGUCAUUGCCCUGAAGCUUAUUGAUUCUAUGAAAUUUUCACUAUUCUCAUUUGUCUCUACCUUCCUUGUGUAGCUUAAAUUCCAUGAUCUAUCACUACGAUGAGUCCUUUUUCACACAGUCUCAGAUCACUUACCACCCUCUUACUUCAUCAUACUUGCUUGGCAAACCACAGUCUUGGUUCUGUCUAACCCUCUGGUCCCUCUUCACCAGAAUCUAUGCAGCUAAGUGUGGCUGGGAAAAGACACAAGCCACACUGACUUUCCUUCCUCAAAGUCAUUGCCACCAGCUCAAGUGGGUCCUUAAUGCUUCCUAACAACCACAUUUUAUUUCCCUUUUCCAUUCCCCCUUCUGGUCUCCCAAACAAUGGUCUUAACACUCUCCUUUCUCCUUGCACCAUUACACUAAAAUUGCUUCACUGAAGUCUCAAACAACCAAAAGAUGCUAUCUCAAGGUCAAAGAUUAUAUCUCAGCUUAAUCCUAUUUGAUUUACCAAAAAUAUUUGACAUAAGUUCUAAAACUUGGGCUUUUAGAAUAGCUUUGACCCUUAUAGCUAUUCCUUCUCAGUUUCUUUUGCUGUUUCUUCAUCUAAAUGUUGGAGUGUUAGUAUACUGUAUUUAUGUUUUUCCUUCUGGCUUACUUCACUCUGUAUAAUAGGCUCCAGUUUCAUCCACCUCAUUAGAACUGAUUCAAAUGUAUUCUUUUUAAUGGCUGAGUAAUACUCCAUUGUGUAUAUGGAAUUUAGAAAGAUGGUAACAAUAACCCGGUGUACGAGACAGCAAAAGAGACACUGAUGUAUAGAACAGUCUUAUGGACUCUGUGGGAGAGGGAGAGGGUGGGAAGAUUGGGGAGAAUGG